rnacentral:rRNA from 1 species
UACAGAGGUCUCAAGCGUUGUUCGGAUUCAUUGGGCGUAAAGGGUGCGUAGGUGGCGAGGUAAGUUGGAUGUGAAAUCCCGGGGCUCAACCCCGGAACUGCAUUCAAUACUGCCUUGCUAGAGUACUGGAGAGGAGAUUGGAAUUUACGGUGUAGCAGUGAAAUGCGUAGAUAUCGUAAGGAAGACCAGUGGCGAAGGCGGAUCUCUGGACAGUUACUGACACUGAGGCACGAAGGCCAGGGGAGCAAACGGG